GAAGCAAAUAAAUCAAUUAGAGAUCACAAAGAAUGGAAAUGUAGGUCGUAUGAAACAUAUGAGUCGUAUAGUCAGUGUUUUUCGUCCUUCU
rnacentral:ribozyme from 1 species